rnacentral:rRNA from 1 species
GAUGAACGCUGGCGGCGUGCCUAACACAUUCAAGUCGAACGGUGACGGGGACUUCGGUCCCCUGAUCAGUGGCGGACGGGUGAGUAACGCGUGAGCAACCCGCCUCUGCGUGGGGGAUAACGAUUGGAAACGAUCGCUAAUACCGCAUAAUGUAAUUUCUUGGCAUCUUGAAAUUACCAAAGAUUUGUUGCGCAGAGAUGGGCUCGCGUCUGAUUGGAUAGUUGGUGGGGUAACGGCCUACCAAGUCGACGAUCAGUAGCCGGACUGAGAGGUUGAACGGCCACAUUGGAACUGAGAAACGGUCCAGACUCCUACGGGAGGCAGCAGUGGGGAAUAUUGGGCAAUGGGCGAAAGCCUGACCCAGCGACGCCGCGUGCGGGAAGAAGGUCUUCGGAUUGUAAACCGCUGUUGAUAGGGAAGAAGAAAGUGACGGUACCUAUCGAGGAAGUCACGGCUAACCACGUGCCAGCAGCCGCAGUAAGAC